AUACUGCUUAGUGCGCGGCCGCAGAGGGUGAAGGAAGGAGGAGAACAAGUCUCUCACUGCCUACACGCAGACGCAGCUGAACAAAUCCAACCAAAACGAGUGCUUCUUCAUCUCCUCUGCUCACUCUUCAGUCUCGUGGUUUCUGUAAUUUUUUCCUUAGGGUUUUCUUUUCCUUAGUGCAAGAUGACUCGUUCUAAAGCCAGCUCCAAGAAACAACGUGGCGUUGAUUUUAAGAAAAUAAGGCGAAAGGUUGGAAGGAAGCUGCCACCACCUAAGAAUACAACAGAUACUGAAAUUAAAUCUAAAGCAAUUGUUCUGCCGGAACAGAGUGUAGCGGCAGAGAAAGCUGGUUUGGCUGUAAACAAGAAAGGUUUGACUUUAAAAGAACUUCUCCAGCAAACGUCUCAUCACAAUGCAAAAGUUCGUAGAGAUGCAUUGAUUGGUAUUAAGGAUUUAUUCAUCAGAUAUCCAGAAGAACAGAGGUUGCACAAGUAUGCUGCUGUGGAAAAACUUCGUGAGCGCAUUGGUGAUGAUGAUAAAGUGGUUCGAAAAUCAUUAUAUGAUCUUUUUAAAGUAGUGAUUUUACCUGGCUGUAAAGAGGAUAAUCAAGAGCUGAUCAUUUCUUUAUUAAUGCCUUACAUUUUUAAUGCAAUGACUCAUUUGGCGGUUGAUGUCCGAAUCAUGGCAUUUGAUUUCUUAGAGCUCAUUCUUGAGUUUUAUCCUCCUUCCUUUUCAUCUCAUGCAGAAAAGAUUUUUCAGAAUUACGAGGAUAUUCUAAGGAAGAACCAGUUCUAUUUACAGGACAAAGGAAAACUAAAGGAUGCUCUUGCUGGAUUGGUUCACUGCUUGUCACUCCUGCCAUGGAAUAAAAGAGAUACUGAUUUUCAUAAUAAGGAUACUGGAAAAAGGGUAUUGCACGCGUUUCAAGUUGAUGUGUCUGUGAGCUCUAAUGGUUUUUCUUUUAACAUAAAGAAACUGAAGGAUCUAGUGCCAAUAUUAAUAAAUAGUUUCCUGGAAUUUAUUCCACUGGUUCAUGCUACGGAAGGUCUUGAAGGGAAGUCUUUUGGUUGUAUGGUAUCCAUUCUUCGUAGCAUAGAUCUUAUAGUUAGGUCUAUUGCUUAUGGGACUGAUAAGGAUUCAGAAUCCCCAAGUUCUCAAGGUGGAACUGAUGUGGCUGUACAGGAUGUUACUAUCUCUUCUGUGCUUGUGAAGAAAUUAUUUUCACUUUUUCCUCUCAAUCCAGCUGAGCAUCUUUCAGAAAAGGAUUGUGAUAGGUUGCUUGACUUGAACAUGGCCAUUGCCAAAAUAUUCUUUGAAUUAAAUGAAUGGAGGUGUCUUCCUCCUAAUUUGUUGGAGACAUUUCUAGAAUUUUUUGAAAAUGCUCUGCUUGGGAAGUUAUGCAGGGCUGCACGGUCUGGUAAGGCUGUCUGGGAAGAGCAUUUAGUUCAUCUCCUUUCAUUUAUUCCGAAAUUUGUUUCACGUGGGGCAAGCUAUUGGACAUCUCGUCUUCUUCAGGCUUUUACCCAGACAUUCAAGGAAAGCAUGCCAGGUUCCUUGCUGAAGUUGGCCUGUCUUUCUGCUAUUGAAGAUAUGCUAACUCCUAUCCAAAGCAUGCUUUCCAUGGAGACUAGCAAUCCAGAAAAUUUAGAAUUUCAAGAUGCUUUACUUGCAUGGAUUAGAUAUCUCCCUCUGUUGCUUAUCCAGCUUGGAGAUAAACACCCAGCCUGCUCCCAGGUCGUCUUGCGUCUUCAACUUCGUAUUGGACAAUGUGCUUUGUUGAAUCCUUCUCUUGUUUGCAUGUAUGACAACAUGCAGUACUCAUUGGAAGAUUUUUAUUGUACAUGUCAAGAAGGAGGACCGAUAUGUUAUGGUCCUUUUCUCAGGCUUCCUAGAGAAUCUCAAGAGCUCUCUUUAUGUUCCCUUUACUAUUUCUCCCAUUUGGACCUGCCUAUUUUAAAGUCAAUAGCUUGUUGUUGCCUAAGUUCAGAUCUAGAUCCCUAUGUAUUAUUUAGGACUGUAGAGAUUGUCCAUUCAGCCUAUAGAGAUGGACAUAUAGCAAUUGCAGAUUACUUGAGUGUCUUCAUCACCUUGGUCUUGCGUUUCAAAGUUUCUCCUGAAGUCGGUUCUGCUGGUUUUAAGGAUGACCCAAUCUGCCAAACUUUGAAGUCAUUGACAACUGUUCUUUGCUCAUACAUCGCACAGAUGGGUGACAAUUCUCUUGUUCUACAGAUGAUUGAGAAAGUAAUAGUCGAUCAAAUAUCUGAAAAGCCUUCUUUGGAUAAUAGUUGUUCUCUCCUGAGAAUUCUUGUUGCAGUAGAUUCCAAGCCCACAAGACUUUCUGAACAAAGCAUUAUCACUCUUGGUCAUCAUCUUUCCGAUUAUCUGAUGGAUGCUAUGCUGUGCAUUCCAGAUGAUGGUGAUGAACGGGGAACUCUAUCCAUUCAAUCAAGUACUCAGCAUUAUUAUCUCCUACCUUGCUUUUUCUUGUUUGAUCGGUGCCAUAAACUUAUGGGUCUUGUGUUGAAGAGAAUGGGAUCAGCUAUAACGGAAAGUAGUUUGUCACUGGUAUCUGAUAAAUGUGCUCAACCUGAGAGGAACUUCUUGAUUAGGGUGAAUGCUAUUACUUCUGUACUUCUAUUGAUGCACAAGGAUGCUAAAUUGCAACAGAUUAUGUCUUUAUUCAAGGAAGAUAUUGAUAACAUCAUCCAGCAAGUUCUUUCUUUACAGUCAUCAGGGCAGAUCAUUGUGACAAUUGAAGAAAGGCAUGAAAUACAAUGUGCGUUUGAUCGACUAAAAUUCUUAUCAUGACAACAAUGGUCAGGAAAGAUGUUCUGCAGUGGGAAACUGGUUCAUGAUAUUUGCAGACAUAGUUGGUAUAAAAGGGACCCUUUUGUUGUCAAAUUGUUAGGCAGAAGGAUAUGGACCAAGCUCUGUGUGAACUCUGGAUCAAAAUGGUUAAGGAGAAUGCAAUAUUUUGCAUACUUUGAUAGUGGAGCAACUUGGCAUCAGUUUUUUGAAUCUCAGAGAGCAUGCUUGGCAUCCUCAUAUACCAACGUACUUUUCUUUGGAUUAUUUCGCAAGCAAUUUUGAGGUCUGCUUGCAAGGCGCUAUGUUUCACGGUGGAGAAAUCUAAAUUUUGCCUCCAAUUUUGUCAAUAGCAUAGCAAUGUUCUGUUCUACCAGUUAGGCUUGUGAUGAGUGCCAAUGGCCUAGACACAGUAAAUACUGUAUAAUCUCCAUGUUUAUUUUCGUUUUCCUAUACAACUAUAUUGUUACGACUAAAGACAUCUGAUAGCACCAAAAUCUUGAUGAUAAGAGAACGUUAAAAAUUAAAUGAAAUUAUUUAAAGUAAUUUAACAAUCAUACUAGGCG